CUGCAUCCUUGAGGAACUUGGCAUAGCCUGGCAUAUCUCUCAAAGCAUCAAGUAAAGGAAUAUUGAUGUGCAGCUUUGAAAAUACCUCCAUAAACUUGGCUAACUUCUCAUCCAUCUUUGGCUUUGCCAGGCGAUUCGGGAAAGGCGCUACAGGCUUGUACUCUGGCCUGGGAAACGUAGGAGUAGGAUUGGGCUCCUUAACAGCAGAAGAACUCGACGCCUUAGAAGUAGGCGGCGAAUCACAAACAAUCGUCUCCAAAUCAUCCUCCUCAACAAUCUCUACACCUUUUCCC
rnacentral:lncRNA from 1 species